ensembl:lincRNA
UCUCAUCCAUGGUGCCAGUGCAGCUGCCUCCUAUUUGUGAGCCUCUCUCCACUGCCCCACCCUGCCACAUCCUAGUUCAGAAGAGUUCAGAAGAGGAGCCUCUGCCUGGAGAAGAUUCUGCAGGUGCAACAGUAGAAGCUCUUUUCUCUUCUUGCUUGACUGAUCAUUGAUUCAUCUUAAUUUCCAAAUCCAGAAAUUUCCACGAGUCCACCAACAAGACUCUCAACUACAAGGCCCACAACUACAGGAAGACCCACAACUAUUUCAACAAGAUCCACACAUGUACCAACAUCAACCAGAGUCUCUACCUCUACUCCUCCAACAUCAGCACACACACAGACUUACAAACCAGACUGGAAUAACACUGUGACAUCCUCAGACAACUCUUGGAAUAAUAACACCGAAGCAAUCCCUCCACAGAAGCCACACAAAAACCUGACUAAGGGCUUGUAUGUUGGCAUCUGCAUUGCAGUCCUGCUGCUGCUGCUGCUUGUGGGCACUGUGGUUAUCAUCAGGUACAUGGUUAGGAAAAAGAAGUCGGGAUCUCUGAGCUUCCCUGUGUCUAAGAUCAGACCUUUGCAGAACACAGUGGUUGUACAGUCCAAAGGUGAAGACAAGAUCUACAUUAUUGAAGACACUGCUAACCCUGGAGAACAGUCCCAGUGGCCCUCGGAGGCGCCUUCUGCCUGAGAUUACAGAGAUUGUCACAGAUAUCACAAACACCUAUCACAGCUCCAGGGCGGUGUUGGUUCUUCCGGCUGUAAUGGAGAGAGUAACCCUUGACUGUGUACACUCAGAACUUAAGGUUAACAUCAUCCUAAUUCUUGUAUCAGCACCACCUCAGUGUCUCCACUCACUGCAGUGAUUCUUUCAAGUGUGAAUGUUUUGUUUUGUUUUUGAUUCAACACAAUUACCAGUAAUACAGAAAUAGUCUUGGUUAUUUAAACCAUCACAAGAGGAAAUAUUUAAAAGUUAAAAAUAGUGUGUGGGGGUGGACAGGAAGUCCUGAUUUCAGAAGAACUUUGUAAUCAUGUUUUAUGUAUUUUGUCAUACUUUGAAAUGUCACUUUCCCCAUCUUUCCCAAAGGUCUUUAAUCACAGGAACAUGGAGGUUUAAAGGGAAUCUAAUGUUGCUUUUUAGAGGUUGCAAAUUUCUCAUACCUCUGGAAAUAAGAUCAUUUAUUAUGCAGUUGAUCUUAGCAUAAGGAUGGGUGUUUCAUAUUAGGAGCGGUUACCAUGGUGAAUAUGGACCAGGCACACAUCAGGGGAAGAAGAUAAUGGACCAAGGGAUUCAGUUUAUUGAUGCUAUUUCUACUCCACUCCUGUCUUGAUGCUCACUGUUCCAGAACUUACCCACUAGGAGAUGCUAGGAGGAGACAGUGAAGAAAUGAAAGAGCACAGGACACUGGCUCUCUGCUGAAAGAAGUCCUAUGGCAGGUGUGACAGUGUUUGGGACUAUCACGGUUUCCUUCAGACUUCUAAAUUUCUAAAUUGUCUUCAGGACACGUUUAUAUUUAAAAUUAUUUCAGAAAGACAACACAUUUUUUGUAAUGAAUCAGUUUGUCACAAUAAAAUAGAAAAUUUAGUUUUCC